rnacentral:rRNA from 1 species
CGCGGGAAAUCUUACCGGGUCCGGACACACUGAGGAUUGACAGGCAAUAUUAAUACUUUGCUUCGGCAUUGUAUUAUGUUAAAUAUGCUAGUCCUUUCAUGAUUAUGUGAUAGGUGGUGCAUGGCCGUUCUUAGUUCGUGGAGUGAUCUGUCUGCUUAAUUGCGUUUCACUAAGGGCCUAUAAAUUUACGUAUGUUGUAUCGCACUUUGACCCCUUUCUUUAAUUAGAAAGCGCGUGUCUUAGUUUCGCUUUGCUCAUACAAUUAGGUCCUGAAAGCAACGAACGUGACCGCAACCUCUUGUUGCCUUUAUACCAAACAUGUUUAUUCAUUUUUUAAUGUUCAUUCAUGAAAAAAGGCUUUUUAAACUAGAGGGACCGCUGUUACUUUCUUAAACCAGAGGAAGGUUGCGGCAAUAACAGGUCUGUGAUGCCCUUAGAUGUUCCGGGCUGCACACGUGCUACAAUGAUUAUUGCAGUGAGCAUCUCAUUUUUACACACCGCAUGCGCGAGUCCAUUUAUUCACCUUCGGGUGUUUUAAAUGUGUACCUCUGCGCGCGGUAAAGCCUGCUUCGAAAGUAAGUGGGUAAUCAAUUAGAAGUAAUGAUUUCCUUUUUUAGCACACAUAUAUACGGCGUCUAUGCCCGGGUUACCUUGUUGUAGCUUUUGUGUGUAUAGAUGUUUUUUCCGUAUGUGCGAUUGUCAAUUCAUGGUGGGGACAGACCAUUGUUAAUUGUUGGUCUCGGUCUUAACUAGGAAUGCCUUGUACGGGUCUUUGGUUCAACAAACCACCCGGAAUACGUCCCUGCCCUUUGUACACACCGCCCGUCGCUCUUACCGAUGGACUUCUCUGUGAGUUUGAGGGACUGGGAACGCAGGAAUUUAUUUCUGCACACCUAUGGAAACUUAAACGAACAGUGUGGUCUAAAGGAAAGAGAAGUCGUAACAAGGCAUCGGUAGGUGAACCUGCAGAAGGAUCA